rnacentral:rRNA from 1 species
UACGUAGGUGGCAAGCGUUGUCCGGAAUUAUUGGGCGUAAAGCGCGCGCAGGCGGACUUUUAAGUCUGAUAUGAAAUCCCACGGCUCAACCGUGGAAGGUCAUUGGAAACUGGGGGUCUUGAGUACAGAAGAGGAAAGCGGAAGUCCAAGUGUAGCGGUGAAAUGCGUAGAGAUUUGGAGGAACACCAGUGGCGAAGGCGGCUUUCUGGUCUGUAACUGACGCUGAGGCGCGAAAGCGUGGGGAGCAAACAGG